UACAGAGGUCUCAAGCGUUGUUCGGAUUCAUUGGGCGUAAAGAGCUCGUAGGCGGUCUGUCGCGUCUGCUGUGAAAACUCGGGGCUUAACCCCGGGCCUGCAGUGGGUACGGGCAGACUAGAGUGCGGUAGGGGAGACUGGAAUUCCUGGUGUAGCGGUGAAAUGCGCAGAUAUCAGGAGGAACACCGGUGGCGAAGGCGGGUCUCUGGGCCGAUACUGACGCUGAGGAGCGAAAGCGUGGGGAGCGAACAGG
rnacentral:rRNA from 1 species